rnacentral:rRNA from 1 species
UCCUGAAAUCGUCUACUAGUUUCCUCCCCGGCGACCCCUCUAACGAAGGCACCAACGAGUUCAAGAACCCGUAGGUAGGGGCGGUCGGCUGCGGGCCUACUGGG